GAUGAACGCUGGCGGCGUGCCUAAUACAUGCAAGUCGAGCGAACAGACGCGGAGCUUGCUCCUCUGACGUUAGCGGCGGACGGGUGAGUAACACGUGGAUAACCUACCUAUAAGACUGGGAUCACUUCGGGAAACCGGAGCUAAUACCGGAUAAUAUAUUGCACCGCAUGGUUCAAUAGUGAAAGACGGUUUUGCUGUCACUUAUAGAUGGAUCCGCGCCGCAUUAGCUAGUUGGUAAGGUAACGGCUUACCAAGGCAACGAUGCGUAGCCGACCUGAGAGGGUGAUCGGCCACACUGGAACUGAGACACGGUCCAGACUCCUACGGGAGGCAGCAGUAGGGAAUCUUCCGCAAUGGGCGAAAGCUUGACGGAGCAACGCCGCGUGAGUGAUGAAGGUCUUCGGAUCGUAAAACUCUGUUAUUAGGGAAGAACAAAUGUGUAAGUAACUAUGCACGUCUUGACGGUACCUAAUCAGAAAGCCACGGCUAACUACGUG
rnacentral:rRNA from 1 species